UCCCUGGUGGUCCAAUGGUUAAAACUCUGCACUUCCAACGUAGGGGACACAGGUUUGAACCCUGAUUGGGGAA
rfam:TPA: Bos taurus chromosome 1, whole genome shotgun sequence.